UUCGCUGACGAGUGGCGGAAGGGUGAGUAAUGUCUGGGAAGCUGCCUGAUGGAGGGGGAUAACUACUGGAAACGGUAGCUAAUACCGCAUAAUGUCGCAAGACCAAAGAGGGGGACCUUCGGGCCUCUUGCCAUCGGAUGUGCCCAGAUGGGAUUAGCUUGUUGGUGGGGUAACGGCUCACCAAGGCGACGAUCCCUAGCUGGUCUGAGAGGAUGACCAGCCACACUGGAACUGAGACACGGUCCAGACUCCUACGGGAGGCAGCAGUGGGGAAUAUUGCACAAUGGGCGCAAGCCUGAUGCAGCCAUGCCGCGUGUAUGAAGAAGGCCUUCGGGUUGUAAAGUACUUUCAGCGGGGAGGAAGGGAGUAAAGUUAAUACCUUUGCUCAUUGACGUUACCCGCAGAAGAAGCACCGGCUAACUCCGUGCCAGCAGCCGCGGUAAUACGGAGGGUGCAAGCGUUAAUCGGAAUUACUUGGCGUAAAGCGCACGCAGGCGGUUUGUUAAGUCAGAUGUGAAAUCCCCGGGCUCAACCUGGGAACUGCAUCUGAUACUGGCAAGCUUGAGUCUCGUAGAGGGGGGUAGAAUUCCAGGUGUAGCGGUGAAAUGCGUAGAGAUCUGGAGGAAUACCGGUGGCGAAGGCGGCCCCCUGGACGAAGACUGACGCUCAGGUGCGAAAGCGUGGGGAGCAAACAGGAUUAGAUACCCUGGUAGUCCACGCCGUAAACGAUGUCGACUUGGAGGUUGUGCCCUUGAGGCGUGGCUUCCGGAGCUAACGCGUUAAGUCGACCGCCUGGGGAGUACGGCCGCAAGGUUAAAACUCAAAUGAAUUGACGGGGGCCCGCACAAGCGGUGGAGCAUGUGGUUUAAUUCGAUGCAACGCGAAGAACCUUACCUGGUCUUGACAUCCACGGAAGUUUUCAGAGAUGAGAAUGUGCCUUCGGGAACCGUGAGACAGGUGCUGCAUGGCUGUCGUCAGCUCGUGUUGUGAAAUGUUGGGUUAAGUCCCGCAACGAGCGCAACCCUUAUCCUUUGUUGCCAGCGGUCCGGCCGGGAACUCAAAGGAGACUGCCAGUGAUAAACUGGAGGAAGGUGGGGAUGACGUCAAGUCAUCAUGGCCCUUACGACCAGGGCUACACACGUGCUACAAUGGCGCAUACAAAGAGAAGCGACCUCGCGAGAGCAAGCGGACCUCAUAAAGUGCGUCGUAGUCCGGAUUGGAGUCUGCAACUCGACUCCAUGAAGUCGGAAUCGCUAGUAAUCGUGGAUCAGAAUGCCACGGUGAAUACGUUCCCGGGCCUUGUACACACCGCCCGUCACACCAUGGGAGUGGGUUGCAAAAGAAGUAGGUAGCUUAACCUUCGGGAGGGCGCUUACCA
rnacentral:rRNA from 1 species